GUCGCCCAGGCUGGAGUGCAGAGGCGCGAUCUCGGCUCACUGCAAGCUCCGCCCCCGCGGGUUCACGCCAUUCUCCCGCCUCAGCCUCCGGAGCAGCUGGGAUUACAGGCGCCCGCCAUCACGCCCAGGUUCUCCUUCUCUCCUCUAUCCUGCCACUUUGUGAAGAAGGUGCUUGCUUCUCCUUCACCUUCCACCAUGAUUAAAAAUAGAAUAUAAAAACUUCUCUACUCCUGACUCACCAACGCACCAGAACAACUUUUAGUCCUGCAAUCAUGAAGCAUUGAUUGAACAUCUUCUACAUAUUAUCACCACCCUAGACACUACAACAACAAAGAAGUCAAUACUAGUUUCAAUUUGUGGAAAGCUGGAAAUGCGAUGAUUCCCAUGCCCUGAGUUUCUGCUCCAGACACCAGGUGGGGGCAUGGCAAUUGUGACUGGAGAGAGUGGAGGGGUCAUCUUAUCCACCACAUCAGAAGCUGAGGUUAGGAUAUUGUGGCAAGAGAUGAAAAGUGAAGUGAUGUGAGGAAACUUCAUCCUGAAUUCAACUAAAGCCCUGGAAUACUUGUUCAAAUAACCAGCUGACAACUUGGGGUUAAGCUGUCUUGAAUUUAACCUGUUUAGCUCAGCCAAUACAAUUAUGAAAUAAAAAGUUAACAGUCUACUAUUUUGUAGUCCCUGGAUAAAGAGGCCUAAAUGGUAUCCUGUAAAGUUAUGCAGAGUACUAUCUGCAUAGAUCUAGUCAAUGACCUUGGCUAGUAGCAUCAUUUGGUUUCCAGCUUUAUGUGCAUCAAUUCUUCUUUAUAUGCAGUAGUUAAUUUAAUGCACCAUAUAUCUUAUCUCUAACUCCUUGGGAAACAUUUGAAUUUAGUUAUUUUCCAUUCUACUAUUGAGAAUCUGUCUUCACAAGUCACAUAGCACUGUUACAAACACAAAUCACUUGGCGUACACAAUCCAAAUUAAGUAUACAUUUUGCCUGUGUUGCUAUUUCAUGGUAAAUUUUAUUUUCCAUUUUCUUAUUUUCAUUUUCUGUCUUUUAUUACCUUCUGAUGACACUGAAAUGCCUAAAGAAGUAGAUAAAUAUCUUGUUCUAACUUUGCUGAUUAAAAAGAAAACAGUUAAGCCUUGUACAUUUCACAGUAAUGAAGAAAGACUCACAAACAUUUUAUCAGGUCUGAAAAUUUGUCACCAGAUGUAUGUGGAAACUGUCUUGGUGAACCUGCCUUCAUGCAAAUUUGAAACAUCUUAUUAAACUUAAAAAUAAACAUUGUCUCUUUUUCUUAUUUAUUAAUAAUGUAGUUUUGUUUUAUGAUUCAAAUUUUCUUUAGAAAGUGGCUUUAUAAUUGCACAGGAGACAAGAAUUAAUUCUACUGGGGCUUUAUAUCAAAAUGCUUCAUUUCUAAGUG
rnacentral:lncRNA from 10 species